rnacentral:tRNA from 1 species
GCCAUGUUGGUCCAGUCGGUUAGGACAAUACAGGUCACUGUAGAGGGCGGGGUUCGAAUCCUCGACAUGGCA